GACGAGCGCUGGCGGCGUGCUUAACACAUGCAAGUCGAACGGAAAGGCCCUGCUUUUGUGGGGUGCUCGAGUGGCGAACGGGUGAGUAACACGUGAGUAACCUGCCCUUGACUUUGGGAUAACUUCAGGAAACUGGGGCUAAUACCGGAUAGGAGCUCCUGCUGCAUGGUGGGGGUUGGAAAGUUUCGGCGGUUGGGGAUGGACUCGCGGCUUAUCAGCUUGUUGGUGGGGUAGUGGCUUACCAAGGCUUUGACGGGUAGCCGGCCUGAGAGGGUGACCGGCCACAUUGGGACUGAGAUACGGCCCAGACUCCUACGGGAGGCAGCAGUGGGGAAUAUUGCACAAUGGGCGGAAGCCUGAUGCAGCAACGCCGCGUGCGGGAUGACGGCCUUCGGGUUGUAAACCGCUUUCGCCUGUGACGAGGCGUGAGUGACGGUAAUGGGUAAAGAAGCACCGGCUAACUACGUG
rnacentral:rRNA from 1 species